GGCUCUAGAGUGUAGAGGUUAGCACAUCUGCUUUACAUGCAGAAAGUCCUGAGUUUGUGCCCCAGGUGGAGCCA
rnacentral:tRNA from 1 species